GAUUUGGCCAAGGCUUUUGAUCGCCUUGAAUGGAACUUCAUAGUCUCUGCUCUUUCUCGCAAAGGGUUGCAUGGUCACUUUAUAAACUUGGUUUAUGCUUGCAUCUCUUCCCCAAGUUUCUCUGUUAUUAUCAAUGGUCAGCCUUUCGCCAACUUUCGUAGUAACAGAGGCUUAAGACAAGGAUGUCCUUUAUCGCCUUAUGUUUUUGUCCGUGCUAUUAAUGAACUUUCUUUAAGCUUACAGGAUGCUAUGGUCCAAAAUUGCUUGUCUGGGAUCUCUCUUGGUCCAGACUGUCCUCCUAUUCACUCCAUGCUUUUUGCUGAUGAUUUGUUGGUCUGUGGCAAUGCUACGGUGCAGGAGGCUAACCAGAUGGCCAACCUCAUCAACCGUUUCUGCUGUCUUUCCGGGCAGACUCCAAACUGGGACAAGUCUUUUAUUUUGUUUAGCGCCAACGUUUCCCAGCCUUUAGCUCAACAAAUCACUCAUAUAUUCCCUGUUCCUCUUAUGGAUGGUACAUCUACUCAUCUUGGCCACCCGUUAAUCCUCCCUGCUAAGGAUCGUGCUUCCGCUUAUAACUUUGUUUUUGACAAAUUUAAGAAUAAGCUUCCCACUUAUAAGGCAGAUAAACUAUCCCAUGCCGCCAGACUUGAGCUCAUCAAUUCUGUGUUUGCUUCCAUCCCUGUCUAA
rnacentral:rRNA from 1 species